AAGUCGUAACAAGGGUUCCGUAGAUGAACCUGCGGAAGGAUCAUUAACACGUAUCCAACGUUAAAACAACCCUGUGAACCUUCAAUCUUGCUCGCGUGGCUCCUUGAAAGCGGCAAUCCCUGGUAAAUCAUUGUCGACCAGAUUUGAGUCAGGGACCUCUGCCGAUGAGUUACGCUCGUUGCGAUGCAAGCGACCAAGCAAUCCGAGUUCUGAAAGCGUCUUUGAUUGUGUAAGGGUUGCGCAAACACGAUCGUUGGAGACCGACACGGCCGACGACCGGGUCCCUGGGUCACCAUGCCCCUUAAUCACCGCACUGUAACGCCUACAGGUCGCGACCGCAAAAAACCGGACAGCUGUUAACAAUGGAUAUCUUCGUUCUC
rnacentral:misc_RNA from 1 species